CCGGCUCCGGGGCGGAGCCUGGGGCACAAUCCCGCCCCCUUCCUGCUACACCCACUGCAGGCCGCGCCUGGCCUUGAUGGGCAGACGUAUUGGCCUGUGGAAAGGGGGUGGGCGGAGCCUCUGCGGCCAGAUGGGUGGGGAUUCAACAUCCUCUUUCCGCCCCACCUCCACCCGCUCCACCUUCCCCCGCGCUUCCUAGGCGGGAGCCCCGCCCUCUAGGGCGGGUCCAACGGACAGCCAGGUUCUAGGACAAGGAUUGACACAGGGGGAAUCCAAUCAGGAGGCGGCGACUCGGGGCGCGGAGAGCUCCGGGCCGGGGUUUUGGUGCCUUGCCUGGGCCGGGGCGAGGCCCUGCGGGAGCCGACUGGGAAGGUCUGGAACUCUGACACCCCGCCCCGCGAGCUGUGCUCUCAGUCUCAUGUCAUCCCACCACAAGGACAGAUAUUAAGUACCAUAUAUGGGAAAAAUGCUAUUUUACAUAAUUAUGAUCCCUGUGGGGGCGGGCAUGGACUCAGCCCUGGAUUCCAUUGUGAGCGUCUUGAGUUCGAUUCCUGACCCUGCCUCUUUAGGAUCCGCACGUUGCUGCCUUUCAGCCUCCAAACCUUCGCUCUGGCCGUUCUCUCCACCUGGAAUACCCUUCCGAGCCUCUCUUCACCUCCAUGUCAUUAACUCGCAUACAUCCUUUCAGAUAUUUCCUGAGGGCUUGUGAUUUGCCAGAUCCUGUACCAGGUGCUGGAACUUGGUGAUAGACAAUCCACAGUCUCUGCUCUGAAGACAUCCAUGCAGAGACAGGGUCUUGCCAUGUUGCUCCUCGCCUCAAGC
rnacentral:lncRNA from 10 species